CCUACGGGGGGCAGCAGUGGGGAAUAUUGGACAAUGGGGGGAACCCUGAUCCAGCCAUGCCGCGUGUGUGAAGAAGGCCCUCGGGUUGUAAAGCACUUUCAGUGAGGAAGAACGCCUGGUGGUUAAUACCCAUCAGGAAAGACAUCACUCACAGAAGAAGCACCGGCUAACUCCGUGCCAGCAGCCGCGGUAAUACGGAGGGUGCGAGCGUUAAUCGGAAUUACUGGGCGUAAAGCGCGCGUAGGUGGCUUGAUAAGCCGGUUGUGAAAGCCCCGGGCUCAACCUGGGAACGGCAUCCGGAACUGUCAAGCUAGAGUGCAGGAGAGGAAGGUAGAAUUCCCGGUGUAGCGGUGAAAUGCGUAGAGAUCGGGAGGAAUACCAGUGGCGAAGGCGGCCCUCUGGACUGACACUGACACUGAGGUGCGAAAGCGUGGGUAGCAAACAGGAUUAGAUACCCGUGUAGUC
rnacentral:rRNA from 1 species